GACGAACGCUGGCGGCGUGCCUAAUACAUGCAAGUAGAACGCACAGUUUAUACCGUAGCUUGCUACACCAUAGACUGUGAGUUGCGAACGGGUGAGUAACGCGUAGGUAACCUGCCUGGUAGCGGGGGAUAACUAUUGGAAACGAUAGCUAAUACCGCAUAAUAUUGAUUAUUGCAUGAUAAUUGAUUGAAAGAUGCUAUUGCAUCACUACCAGAUGGACCUGCGUUGUAUUAGCUAGUAGGUGAGGUAACGGCUCACCUAGGCGACGAUACAUAGCCGACCUGAGAGGGUGAUCGGCCACACUGGGACUGAGACACGGCCCAGACUCCUACGGGAGGCAGCAGGAGGGAAUCUUCGGCAAUGGACGCAAGUCUGACCGAGCAACGCCGCGUGAGGGAAGAAGGGUUUCGGAUCGUAAAGCUCUGUUGUAAGAGAAGAACGGGUGUGAGAGUGGAAAGUUCACACUGUGACGGUAUCUUACCAGAAAGGGACGGCUAACUACGUG
rnacentral:rRNA from 1 species